AGAGUUUGAUCCUGGCUCAGAACGAACGCUGGCGGCAUGGAUUAGGCAUGCAAGUCGAACGGUGACAGCAAUGUCAUAGUGGCGCAAGGGUGAGGAACGCGUGAGUGAUCUACCCUCAAGUUUGGAAUAGCUCCUGGAAACGGGAAUUAAUACCGGAUGUGAUUGCAGGACUGCAUGGUUUUGCAAUUAAAGCAGCAAUGCGCUUGAGGAGGAGCUCGCGUCCCAUUAGCUAGUUGGUGAGGUAAAGGCCCACCAAGGCGAUGAUGGGUAGCUGGUCUGAGAGGACGACCAGCCACACUGGGACUGAGAACUGCCCAGACUCCUACGGGAGGCUGCAGUCGAGAAUUUUGGGCAAUGGACGAAAGUCUGACCCAGCAAUGCCGCGUGCGGGAUGAAGGUCUUCGGAUUGUAAACCGCUGUCGAGGGGGACGAAAUAUGACGGUACCCCUGGAGGAAGCCACGGCUAACUACGUGCCAGCAGCCGCGGUAAUACGUAGGUGGCGAGCGUUGUUCGGAUUUAUUGGGCGUAAAGGGUCCGCAGGGGGUUGAUUAAGUCUGACGUGAAAUCUCUGAGCUCAACUCAGAAAUUGCGUUGGAGACUGGUUGACUAGAGUGUUGGAGAGGUAAUUGGAAUUCCAGGUGUAGCGGUGGAAUGCGUAGAUAUCUGGAAGAACAUCGAAAGCGAAGGCAGAUUACUGGACAACAACUGACCCUCAGG
rnacentral:rRNA from 1 species